GAUGAACGCUGGCGGCGUGCCUAAUACAUGCAAGUCGAGCGAACGGACGAGAAGCUUGCUUCUCUGAUGUUAGCGGCGGACGGGUGAGUAACACGUGGAUAACCUACCUAUAAGACUGGGAUAACUUCGGGAAACCGGAGCUAAUACCGGAUGAUAUUUUGAACCGCAUGGUUCAAAAGUGAAAGACGGUCUUGCUGUCACUUAUAGAUGGAUCCGCGCUGCAUUAGCUAGUUGGUAAGGUAACGGCUUACCAAGGCAACGAUGCAUAGCCGACCUGAGAGGGUGAUCGGCCACACUAGAACUGAGCCACGGUCCAGACUCCUACGGGAGGCAGCAGUAGGGAAUCUUCCGCAAUGGGCGAAAGCCUGACGGAGCAACGCCGCGUGAGUGAUGAAGGUCUUCGGAUCGUAAAACUCUGUUAUUAGGGAAGAACAUAUGUGUAAGUAACUGUGCACAUCUUGACGGUACCUAAUCAGAAAGCCACGGCUAACUACGUG
rnacentral:rRNA from 1 species